rnacentral:rRNA from 1 species
GGUGACCGCGUACCUUUUGUAUAAUGGGUCAGCGACUUAUUUUCAGUGGCGAGCUUAACCGAUUAGGGGAGGCGUAGCGAAAGCGAGUCUUAACUGGGCGACCAGUCGCUGGGAAUAGACCCGAAACCGGGCGAUCUAUCCAUGAGCAGGUUGAAGGUUGAGUAACAUCAACUGGAGGACCGAACCAGGAUCUGUUGAAAAAGAUUUGGAUGACUUGUGGAUCGGAGUGAAAGGCUAAUCAAGCCCGGAGAUAGCUGGUUCUCCUCGAAAGCUAUUUAGGUAGCGCCUCACGUAUCACCGCCGGGGGUAGAGCACUGUUUCGGCUAGGGGGUCAUCCCGACUUACCAACCCGAGGCAAACUCCGAAUACCGGUGAGUGCCAGCGUGGGAGACACACGGCGGGUGCUAACGUCCGUCGUGAAAAGGGAAACAACCCAGACCGUCAGCUAAGGUCCCGAAAUCCUGGUUAAGUGGGAAACGAGGUGGGAAGGCUCAGACAGCUAGGAGGUUGGCUUAGAAGCAGCCAUCCUUUAAAGAAAGCGUAAUAGCUCACUAGUCGAGUCGGCCUGCGCGGAAGAUGUAACGGGGCUAAACCAGGUACCGAAGCUACGGGUGAGCGUGCGUCCUUGGAUGCAGGCUCACGGUAGAGGAGCGUCGUGUAAGCCGAUGAAGGUGGAUUGAGAAGUCUGCUGGAGGUAUCACGAGUGCGAAUGCUGACAUGAGUAACGACAAGGGGAGUGAAAAACUCCCCCGCCGGAAGACCAAGGGUUUCUGUUCGACGCUAAUCGGAGCAGAGUGAGUCGGCCCCUAAGGCGAGGCCGAAAGGCGUAGUCGAUGGGAAACGGGUCAAUAUUCCCGUACCUCACUGUAUUGCGAUGGGGGGACGAAGAAGGCUAGGUGAGCCAGGCGUUGGUAGUCCUGGUGAAAGUCGGUAGGCCAGUGGUUCAGGUAAAUCCGGACCGCUCUCUUCAUGGAGACAGCCGAGAGACGAGACGAACACCCCACGGGGUGGAAGUCAUCGAUGCCACGCUUCCAGGAAAAGCCUCUAAGCUUCAGAUACAGUGGGACCGUACCCCAAACCGACACAGGUGGUCAGGUAGAGAAUACCAAGGCGCUUGAGAGAACUCGGGUGAAGGAACUAGGCAAAAUGGUGCCGUAACUUCGGGAGAAGGCACGCCGCGUUAGUGUGAAGGCCCUCGCGGCCGGAGCACGAGGCGGUCGAAGAUACCAGGUGGCUGCAACUGUUUAUUAAAAACACAGCACUCUGCAAACGCGCAAGCGGACGUAUAGGGUGUGACGCCUGCCCGGUGCCGGAAGGUUAAUUGAUGGUGUUAGCCCUCGGGCGACGCUCCUGAUCGAAGCCCCGGUAAACGGCGGCCGUAACUAUAACGGUCCUAAGGUAGCGAAAUUCCUUGUCGGGUAAGUUCCGACCUGCACGAAUGGCGUAAUGAUGGCCACGCUGUCUCCACCCGAGACUCAGUGAAAUUGAAAUCGCAGUGAAGAUGCUGUGUACCCGCGGCUAGACGGAAAGACCCCGUGAACCUUUACUAUAGCUUCACACUGGACGCUGAUGUUGCCUGUGUAGGAUAGCUGGGAGGCUAGGAACCCCGGACGCCAGUUCGGGGGGAGCCGACCUUGAAAUACCAGCCUGGCAUCAUUGGCGUUCUAACUCAGGUCCGUUAUCCGGAUCGAGGACAGUGUGUGGUGGGUAGUUUGACUGGGGCGGUCUCCUCCUAAAGAGUAACGGAGGAGCACGAAGGUACCCUCAGCACGGUCGGAAAUCGUGCAGUGAGUGCAAGAGCAUAAGGGUGCUUGACUGCGAGACAGACACGUCGAGCAGGUACGAAAGUAGGUUCUAGUGAUCCGGUGGUUCUGUAUGGAAGGGCCAUCGCUCAACGGAUAAAAGGUACUCCGGGGAUAACAGGCUGAUACCGCCCAAGAGUUCACAUCGACGGCGGUGUUUGGCACCUCGAUGUCGGCUCAUCACAUCCUGGGGCUGAAGUCGGUCCCAAGGGUAUGGCUGUUCGCCAUUUAAAGUGGUACGCGAGCUGGGUUUAGAACGUCGUGAGACAGUUCGGUCCCUAUCUGCCGUGGGCGUUGGACGUUUGAGAAGAGCUGCUCCUAGUACGAGAGGACCGGAGUGGACGCACCUCUGGUGUUCCGGUUGUCACGCCAGUGGCACUGCCGGGUAGCUAUGUGCGGACAGGAUAACCGCUGAAAGCAUCUAAGCGGGAAGCCCCCUUCAAGAUGAGACGUCCCCGAGGCCUCGAGCCUCCUGAAGGGCCCAGCGAGACCAGCUGGUUGAUAGGCCGGGUGUGGAAGCGCUGCAAGGCGUUGAGCUAACCGGUACUAAUGGCCCGUGAGGCUUGACCAUAUAACCCCAAGGGGU